rnacentral:rRNA from 1 species
UACGAAGGGUGCAAGCGUUGUUCGGAUUUAUUGGGCGUAAAGGGCGCGUAGGCGGAUAGGUAAGCCAAAUGUGAAAUCUCGGAGCUCAACUCCGAAACUGCGUUUGGAACUGCUUAUCUAGAAUUAUGUAGAGGCAAGGGGAAUUUCGCGUGUAGGGGUAAAAUCCGUAGAGAUGCGAAGGAACACCAGAGGGGAAACCGCCUUGCUGGGCAUAUAUUGACGCUGAGGCGCGAAAGCGUGGGGAUCAAACAGG